rnacentral:rRNA from 1 species
GCAUCUAAGCGUGAAGCCCCCCUCAAGAUGAGAUAUCCCAUAACGUCAAGUUAGUAAGACCCCUUGAAGACGACGAGGUAGAUAGGGCAGAGGUGGAAGUGCAGUAAUGCAUGGAGCUGACUGUUACUAAUAGGUCGAGGGCAUAACCAA